UACGGGGGGGGCAAGCGUUGUUCGGAAUUACUGGGCGUAAAGGGCGCGUAGGCGGUCUGCUAAGUUGGGUGUGAAAACUCUGGGCUUAACCCAGAGCCUGCAUUCAAAACUGACAGGCUAGAGUUCUGGAGGGGAUAGCGGAAUUCCUGGUGUAGCGGUGAAAUGCGUAGAUAUCAGGAGGAACACCGGUGGCGAAGGCGGCUAUCUGGACAGAGUCUGACGCUGAGGCGCGAAAGCUAGGGGAGCAAGCAGG
rnacentral:rRNA from 1 species